CCUACGGGAGGCAGCAGUGGGGAAUUUUGCGCAAUGGGGGAAACCCUGACGCAGCGACGCCGCGUGAUCGAUGAAGCCCUUCGGGGUGUAAAGAUCUGUCAGUGGGGACGACACCUGCCGUUACCCACCGAUGCCGCACCGGCUAACUCCGUGCCAGCAGCCGCGGUCAUCCGGGGAGUGCAAGCGUUGUCCGGAAUAAUUGGGCGAAAAGAGUUCGUAGGUGGCACGUUAAGUCUGGUGUUAAAGCCGGAAGCUCAACGUACGUAGUGCACCUGAUACUGGCGAGCUUGAAUGCGGUAGAGGUAAAGGGAAUUCCUGGUGUAGCGGUGAAAGGCGUAGAUAUCAGGAGGAACAUCGGUGGCGUAAGCGCUGUACUGGGCCGUAAUUGACACUGAGGAACGAAAGCCGGGGUAGCAAAUGGGAUUAGAUACCCCUGUAGUC
rnacentral:rRNA from 1 species